CUCGCGGCAACCACCAAAGCUGCCCAAUGAUGCAGCACUCCCGAGAUUUUUGGGAUUUGCAGUCCAUUUAAGUCAGGGGUCCUCAAUCACGGUUCUGAAGGGCUGCAGGUUUUUGCUCAAACCCAGUUGCUUAAUAAGAAGCACUUAUUGCAUAAGUAACAUGAGUUUCACUUUCGUUGUCUCGAUCGUUAAGAUUUUGAACCCUUAUUGCUUAUUUUAGUCAUAAACAGCUGUUUUCUUGGAUUUUAAUUUCUCCUAAUUAGCAAUAACAUGCAAAUGACAGAAAAGAGCAGCAUUUCUCCAUUUACUGUAGCUUGUUACCAUUUACACCUGUGUGUAUUUAUCAUGCACUAUUGGGCUUAAUUAAAUACUUGGAAGGAAAGUGAAGAGAAAAAAGUGAAGGACUGAGAAUUAUUCCUCCAUUUUAGCCUUAAAAUCAUUUGGAUGUUAUCCUUAGAAAGGGGAAGAAAAUCUAGGAUAUGAGAAUGACCUGACAUAGCAGAGUUAAAGCACUACGAAGCCAUGCCAUUAAAUUACUGGCAAGAAUUGCUUUCUAAUUAAGCAACCAGGUUAGAACAAAAAUCUGCAGCCCUCCAGGACUGUGAUUGAGGGCCCCUGAUUUUAAGUAGUGCUGCUACAGCACAGUCUGCGAUUUUUCUGCAGCAGGUCUCAAAACUCACAAAAUAAUUUCCAUUUAAUUAUUGAUAACAAAUCCAAAAGUAAGUGGAACUGCAAAUCGUAAACCUGCGAAUCGCAAGGGCAGACCUGCAAUUUGAAGGUGUUACAAAAAUCCUUAUUCAAGAACUAACAUUUGAAGGUAAACACUGUUUUUUGUUUCACCUCCCACUAAUUUGAACAGUAUAUUACUUCAGAUGUGUUAUAUAACAUUGCUGUAUUUUGAUCAAUCUGUUUGCAUUUCACAGUGGAUGGUUUCUAUCCUCAUUAGUAAAAUGAAGACUUUUCAUCAUCUUGGCUCAUUUUUCCACCUUUCUGCUCUGUUCUUAGAUAUACCAUUGUAGUAAUAACAGAUUUUAAAUGAUUCUGCAUUACCUUGAAAGUCACUUAUUAUUCUGUGAUCCCAGAGUUACUGCUGCUUCUUGCUAAAUCUGUAAAGCAUAUAUCACAGCAAGCAAAAUAUGGCUUCCAUUUCUCUUUAAGUGUCAUAAAUUUGAUUUUCUAUUUUUAUUACUAGGACGCUUUGCCCCCCUGCUUGCUUCACUCAACCACCCCCUCCCAUCCCCCCUGCUAGCUCUGCGCUCUAGCCACUUCACGUCGUUGGGGGUUGUGUGGGCUGAACACACUUUAAUAAUACAUUUUAUUUAUAUAGAGCCUUUCCCAUGCUCAAGGCACUUACAGAAUAUAAGAAAGAACGGCAGGGUGUACAGUAUAUAGCUUGAGGAAAUACGGUCUGAUCUGCUGCUGAGCUGCAUGUUCUGCUUGUUGUACUGCGCGUUGAUCAUUUAAAAUCUUGUACAGCAGUUAUCCAUCUAUCUCACCUUGUCUCACGUGACAUUAAAGUGUUUCUCGCGGGAUGUCAAAUUGUCUUCUGAGAAGAUCACGUAUCAUCUCCUUCCAAGAUUUUUUUUAAUAGAGAGAUAGCACAUUACCUUGAAGAAGAACCUUUUCAGUGUUAGAAAUGCUCUUUUUUGUUACCUCAUCCAUCCCAGUUUUACACACAAUGUUGGCUGCUGACUUGACAUAAAAUACAUGAAACAAUAACAUAUAUUACAUCAGGUGCUAGGAAGCAAUAUUCUCAUUGCUAAUACAAUGUUUAAUCCCUACUUCAAUUUAGUGACUCACUUUGGAACUGCAGCAGGUGUCAAGAGAAGUAGGAGAUCAGGAAUAAUUCUUCUUUUCCUUUUAAGGCCAUGUCAUAUUACACAACUUUCCCAGCAAUUUCCAGUCACAGAAUUCAUUUACAUAACCCAAGCAAGUUGGUGGCAGUCAAGACAUUCACCAGUAACCUUUUGUCGUGUAGUAUGACAUUUCUCACAGUACAGCCCAAACAGUCUGUGACUUUCCCCAACAAAGCCAAACAGGUUUCAUUUUGUCUUAAGUCAUAAGGGUGGGCUUAUGCUUGUAUGAGAGCAGGCAACUAAUGGGAACUUACCUGGAAGUACGGGGCAUAUACUGCUGUAAAAUGAGGAUUUUAUUUAUAAUUAGUGUAUUUUGGACCUUGCUAACAGAAGAAAGGCUCCUCUGUCUAGCAUGUCCUUUUUUGCGUAUCAAAUCAAAAUCGGUGUGUGGGGAGGGAGCAAAAAUUGUAGCUUAUUCCCUGUAAAGGAUUUGUACAAACACCUGUUCUGUCAGACAGCAUGUUAUUGGGGUGAGCUAGAGAUAAAUUGGAAAUACGAAAUAGUGCUGGAAAAUUGAUCACAUAGUUGUCUAAAUUGUCAUACCCUGCCAACCCAGUCUUUUAAUGUGACUGUCUCUGGUGACAAGAUUAACAACCGCAGUCAUCGAGUUUGACAUCCCCUCUGACUGGAAAUUAUGUAAUGUGACAGCAGCUUUAGGCUGCAAGUCGUCCUUCCUGGAAUAGUGAGUACCACCAUUUUGUGGCUCUGUCUCUCUGUUGGUCUUUUGUUGGGGUGUUGACAUGAAACAUAAGCACUACAAGCCAAAAUUUCAAAGAAUUAUACCGUAAGUGAUUCAAAGGAAAGUUAAAACACUGAAUUUUUAUAUUUCUGUGUACACAUUUUUAAGUUAAUACAACAGAAAAGUAAAGAUACGCAAAACAGUUUCAGACAUAUGCACGGUUUCAUGCUAUUCUUCUUCUUCAUUUGCACGCAAACUUCACCUGUGAUUGUCCUUGUUUUUGGGAAAAUAAUGCCAAGAAUCUGUGGCAAAAUGUAUUACUUCCAGCUUCCUUUCAUUGUUAUAAACAUAUCUGAGAAACACAAAAGCCAUGCACUCUUAACAAAAGUUUUUGUCACUACCGACUUACACAUAAGCUUUAGGCUUCUGUUUUCACAAUCGAACUGGUGUACCGUUUAUUUGAUUUUAUUUUUUUUUACAAUUUGUAAAAAAUGCUUCACUUAAGUACAGUAUAUGCCCUUUGUAACAGAUGACAUGCCCAGCAAUUCAGCUUACAGCAAAGCCUCGUCAAAACGUUAACAGCCAUAUCUGCUCACCUUUAGCUGAGCAGCUUUGAUGCCAGCAACUUGUAUUCAAUUCCCACUACUGACAACGUCUCAGGGAUAGGGGACUGGGAGAGGGACGUCUCCUUGUGGAAAUGACUCGCUAAUUACACCAUGAUUGCAAAAAAAAAAAAAAAAUAACCUUUGACUUAUGAGGAGAGAGUAAUAAUAUUGUGAUAAAAAUAUAUACUUAAAAAGAAUAAUAAUUUAGAAACCAGUUGUUGCUCUGGCAAAUGUAUAACCCUUCUAGAUCAGAUAAGAUUUUUUUCAUGCAGUUGUUUAGCCUCGAGCUGAAAUACCUAAACAAGAACUGACUAGCUUGCAGGACUCUGGGGGUCUGAAGGCUUUGCACCGUUCUAUUUCUGACCAGUUGUACAAGGGUGUUUUGUUACAUCUCUGUGUGGACUCAUUGGUGGCAUUGUUUUAGUUUGUAUGACCUCCAAUAUCAGAGACCAAGGACACUUUAAGAUCAGGGCUGUCAAACUCCGGUCCUGGAGGGCCGCAGUGGCUGCAGGUUUUCAUUGUAACCAUCUUCUUAAUUAGUGACCAGUUUUUUUUUUCCUGCUAAUUAAUUUCUUUUGCUUUAGUUUUAAUUAACUUGACUCGGCCAAACAAUAAUGAGGGACAAAACAAGCCGCCACAUGACCAGCUCAUACAAUAUCUGAAAAUAAAGGAAAGUGACGGUCUCAGAAAGGUCGAUCUCUCGGGUCGCCGAAACAUUUUGACAGUGUUCUUAGAAAAAAAACAGAAAAUCAACAGUUCUGGAAAUGUCUGCUGUGGCAGAAUGAGAGCAGCAACAAGCUGUGGAAUUAACAGCAAGGAUCGGCUUCUCAUUAAGAAACUGGUUUGAGUUAGAAGCCCCAGUUUAGCUGGUCAUCUGGCAACUCAUUUCACUUGUCAUUUCUGUUUGGCUGUCAUUUAAUGAAAAAAAGAAUCGAUUCAGUGGGCUGAAUCCUUAAAAACAAGGGCAUUUAAAAUGAAGGGAAAAGUUAAUUAGCAGUGAAACCUGGUCCAAGAUUAGGAAAAGGGUUUGAAUGAAAACAUGCAGCCCUCUAGGCCUGGAGUUUGACACCCCUGCCUUAGAUCUUAUGACCCCUUUCCUCCCAGGAAGAAAGCAUGGGAUGGAAUUGGUGUUGUGACUAAACAGGACUGGAAUGAACCAGGGAGGUCAGCCCUGCAUACUGACAUCCCAUUGGUCUUGGAGGUGCAUCAAGGAAGCUGGACUAGCAUACAUUUAGGCUAACAAUGAUAUUCACACUCUCUGUCUCUACUGUACCCUCUGUCCAGAUGCCACACUGCCAUCUCUCUCAGUUCAUUCCAAUGACAUGUUAGAGAAGAGGUGACACAGGACCAAAGACCAAUCAAAAUACUAAGACAGAAACCCACCUGGUAGUCUGUUAUCCAAGUUGUAUUAAUAUUAUUUUGACAACACUCACAUUUGUACUCUGCUUAUAUUUUGGGCAUGUUAUCUAUAAUACAUGAAUAAUAAUUAGAGUAUCUGUUAUUGUACUUUAUCUAAUUGUGUAGGGUUACAGAUAUGAAGAAAGAAGGAGAUACUGAACUACAGGAGAAGUCAGUGUGACAACCACGUGGGAUUUGAGAUACUCUGUUAUUGUCUAUGUAAUUAAAGGUAAAAGGGAAAAUAAGCUCGCCCUUCCACGACAAAACAAUACUGAUCUUGUCACAAGCCAUACAAUUAACAACGUAUACCAUUAGGAAACAGUUGGGUUAGAACAAAAACAUGCAGCCACUGCAGCACUCGUAGGCCAAACUUAAACACUCCUGAUUUAGUGCGCGCUCCAGAGUAAGAUGUUGGUUCAUUUUAAAUUAGAAACACAAAUUGAAUGAGGUGAAGUGUUCAUUUUUAAACUGAGACUCCAUCCUUGUUGUUCAUUUCACUAACUAGAAUGUCAGCUUCUAUUGAAAGUUCUUUUUAAUAGUGUUAUGAAGUUUAGUGUACAAAGGAGUCACAGAAUGGAGUAUAAUUUGUAUUUUCAACAGCACUAUUAUUCUCAACACCACAUCCAUGUCGGUAUCCAUAACUGAGGAGGCCAAACGUCUCAUGAGGCAAACUGCACUUAUUAAUGGGUGCAACUGCCAAAUUCUAAACCACGCAUUGUAAGAUAACAGGGCUGAAAAACUGAAAAUGACUAAACUUGGCGUACAGUAAAACCUUGGAUUGCGAAUGACUUGGUCUGCGAGUGUUUUGGAAGACGAGCAAAAAUUUUUAAUAAAUUUUAACUUGCUAAACGAGCGAGGUCUUGCUAUACGAGUAGUACGUAUACGCUUUGUCUGCCGAGUGUCACGUGAUCACAACUGAGCCGAUGGUGGUUCUCUCUCUUGUCGAUGUGGGAUUGUGGGUAAUCAUCUCCCACACUCAGUCUCAGUCGACGUGCCUCACUCGUAUAGUCAACAUCCAUACGAGUGUAUACUGCUAACUACAGCAUUGUGACCACGUGUGUGUGUGUAAAGCAUUUUUUUAUUUUGUGUGCGAGCGAUGAAUCUGUUUAACGACAAUGCAUUGUCACAUUUCCGCGAAAUCCUCGGCGACUGUCACUGGAUAAGAUUCCUUGUUAAAGUCGCAAAAAAAGAAAAAGAUUCCAGUGGACCAACAGAUAGCAGCGAUUCCAUUAGUUAGAGUGAAAGUCAUCCUGCACAAUAACCUUCCUCCUCCUCCCUUCUCUCUCGUCUCCCUCACACCAACCAUGAUUCUUUUCAAAGGUAAAGUGCAGGUUCAUUUGUUCUAUGUUUUUUUGUAUUAAUCAUUUUUAUAUAAAUAUUUUUGGGUUGUAGAACGAAUGAGUUUCCAUUAUCUCUUAUGGGGAAAUUCACUUUGAUAUACGAGUGCUUUGGAUUCCAAGCACGUCUCCAGAAAGAAUUAUGCUCACAAACCAAGGCACCACUGUAUUCAUUUGAAUGAUGCGACUGGCUUUUAUUUUUUUAUCUUGUUAUCUUGUUGUAUGGUUAAAGUAUAAAACCUGUCCCUUUUUUUUUUUUUUUUUUGCCCCCAUCAGAUCACCCAGCCGUCUAGUAGUUGUCUAGUAGUCGCUUCAUGGCUGUCCUUGACAAGUCCUCUCCCACUUCAUCUGCUUUUUUCUUGGUCCAUUCAAGUAUUGUAAGCAUAUACUGUUCAGCCAUGCCAUGUUGAAAUAUUGCUGAGUUUGUAUUUAACCAUGUGCCUUAUUUAACUGCUCCCCUGAACUAGCAUGAUGUUAACAGAUUCACUUUGCGCAAAUAUAGGUGUUAAUUGAUGUGAGAAACAAAUGUUUAAAAUGUUUACAAUUAAACGUGACUUUCAUCUCGUAGUUGUUGACUUAAACAGUCUUCAGAUUUUAUUAUCGUGUAGGUUUCCCUGAAUCCUAAUAUCCCAGACGAGACCUGCAUUUUUAGCCUUCAUUUUCUUAAAUUUUGCCUUUAUUUUUUUUUUGGGUUGAUAAUGUUUGACAGUCUCUUGCUUCUGUGUGAUUGUGAUCAACAGUUUAUGACGUGAAUCUUGUAUUUUGUAUUGUCUUUGUUUAUGUUAUGCUACUUUGUGAUGUGAAUAAACGAUAGCUGUCUUUGAA